ensembl:lncRNA
CCGUUGCCGAGGCGGUGCCCGAGGCGGUGCCCGUUGCCGAGGCGGUGUCCUUGUCCGAGGUCGAGCCCGAGGCCGUUCCCGAGGCGGAGUCCGAGGUCGUGCCCGAGGUCGUUCCCGAGGCGGGGUCCUUGUCCAAUGCCGUUCCUGAGGCCAUUCCUGAGGCCGUUCCUGAGACCGUUCCCGAGGCGGUGUCCUUGUCCAAUGCCGUUCCUGAGGCCGUUCCUGAGACCGUUCCCGAGGCGGUGCCCGAUGCCAAGGCCGUUCCCGAGGCGGUGCCCUUGUCUGAGGCCGUUCCCGAUGCCGUUCCCAAUGCCGUGACCUGGCCAUCGCCACAGCCUGCUCCUUACUGGCUCCCCGAUUGGCAGGUUCCGUUCGGGCCACUCAAAUGGCGAAUUCCUCCCUGGCCGUCUGCACAACGAGAAUGGACUGAUCCACCGUGGCCACCUGAACUGCCUGGCCCCUCAUGGUCCCCUGAACUUUCGGGUCCACCGUGGCCACCUGAACUGCCUGGUCCCUCGUGGUCCCCUGAACUUUCGGGUCCACCAUGGCCCCCUGAUCUGACCGAGCCACCUGGGCUACCAGGGGAGCCAUCACUGCCGGUCCCAGUUCCCCUACACGGGCCUGGCCCGCCAUCCCUCCCCCUGUUCUGCCUCCACCAGUCCACCUCCCUCCUGGUCUCUUUGUUUUGUGUUUAUUGUGUUCUGAGGAGCAUCUGG